rnacentral:rRNA from 1 species
AUAGAUAAAAUUUUAUGAUUUUAUGAAUUUAUUUAUAAUUUAUUUUACAUGCAAAUUUUAGUAUGAAUUUUUAAUUAUUUUAAUAAUAAUUUUUAUUUUAGUAGUAAAUAAUAUUAAAAAUUUAAGAAAUUAAGAUUUAGUAAUAUUAAAAUUAAUAACAAAUUUUGUGCCAGCAGUUGCGGUUAUACAAAAAUUAAGAUAAAUUUUUUUAGUUAAAUAAAAAUUAAUAAUAAAUUAAAUUAAAUAUUAAAUUUUUAAGUGAAAUUUUAAUUUAAUUAAAAUUUAUUUUUUAUUAUUGAAUUAAUAAAUUUUAAUUAUAAACUAGGAUUAGAUACCCUAUUAUUAAAAAUUUAAUUAAAAAUGCUAAAAUAUUAAAUUUUAAUCAUUGAAACUUAAGUAAUUUGGCGGUAUUUUAGUUCAUUUAGAGGAAUCUGUUUAAUAAUUGAUAAUCCACGAGUAAAUUUACUUAAUUUAGAAUUUUAUAUAUCGUUGUUAAAAAAAUAUUUUCAAAUGAAAAUAAUAUUUAAAAAUUAAAAUAAAAAUUUAAUUCAGAUCAAGAUAUAGAUUAUAAUUAAGAAUAUAAUGGAUUACAAUAAAUUUAUUUAAAUGAAUUUUAUUUUGUAAUAAAUAAAUGAAGGUGGAUUUAAAUGUAAUUUUAUUUAUUUUAUUAUAAUGAUUAAAAAUUAGAAUAUGUACAUAUUGCCCGUCGCUUUCAUUUAAAAAUUGGAAUAAGUCGUAACAAAGUAGAGGUACUGGAAAGUGUUUCUAGAAAGAA